GCAAAUAUGAUCAAUGGUAAUCAACGUGAAAACUAAAUCAUUCAUUCACAAAUCACUUCCAUAAGCCCCAAAUCAAGCAUUAAAAACAUUACUCAAGUAUAUCUAUACUGGGAAAAUGAACUUAACUUCUCAAAAAGCUCAAUAGGAAAUUAUAGGUUACAAAAUAAUGGAAAGAAAACCAAACAAGGUUACAAAAUAAUGGAAAGAAAACAAAAUCUUAAUGAAGAAUAUUCAGAUGUAGUUUUCAUUGUGGAUGGUACAAGAUUUUGGAGCGAAUACUUUAGUGUUUGAAAAAUAGAGCCCUUUUAUAUAGUGGAAUGAAAAAAUUUUUGCCAGAUUGUAAUGAAAUAGAAUUAAAAGAUGCCCCAAAUCAAGCAUUUAAAACAUUACUCAAGUAUAUCUAUACUGGGAAAAUCAACUUAACUUCUCAAAAAGUUAUUUACGGCAAACUACGAGCAAGGAAAUUACAACAUCAUCUUCAAAAACGAAACCACAUUGAGCAAAGAAAAGAGAACUUCUUCACCAUCGCUAAACCAUCUUCCUCACCAACAACAGUUAUUUACGGCAAACUACGAGCAAGGAAAUUACAACAUCAUCUUCAAAAACGAAACCACAUUGAGCAAAGAAAAGAGAACUUAUAUUAUUCAUCAAUCAUUGAAUAAAAAAGACAAUUCAUCACUCUUAGUCUUAAUGGGUUGGAAUUGGCCUGAAGGAGGAGGGGGAGGGGUAAAAAGAAUUAUCGUAAAAGAACGAAUAAAAUUCUCAUCCCCGUCAUUUUUGACGGGUUAUCAACUAGUUAUAUAUAAUAGAGGAUUAUAAACUAUAUAUCUACUUACUUUUUAUAAAAAACUUAUUUGGACCUUGAAAAUAUUUUUAGGAA